rfam:Gossypium hirsutum cultivar TM-1 chromosome 20, whole genome shotgun sequence
CCAAUGGAGUUUUUAGACUCCACAAAUAGGAUCAAAGAUUGACAAG